CCACCAAUAAUGGAGGGAAGAAGAGAGCCAUUAUAAAGAGGGGCUACCUCAUGAAAAUUCUCACUCCUCUGCUGGUUGUGUAAGAAUUAUACCAAUAACACCACUCGCCCCGGUUCUUCUUGAUAAGGGUUCUCUUGAUGGAGAAGAAUAACUGUCCACAGAAUUGUCCGUCGUGUUGCCCGUACUUCCCCCCUUCGUCCGACGACAACAUUUCGUGGUGGGAUACUCCGAGAUGGGUCAUCGUCGGCAUCGUAGUUGUCGCCAUCGUAAUCUGCGGUUUCCUAUUAUACUUUCGUCGCGGUCCUAAGGACACAGAGGGCAAUCUCUCGGUAAAACCAGAAAUUACCUUUGGUAUAGACAGUUUUAACAUUUCGAUUCCGUUGUCGUUAGGGUCCUCCUCCAAAUGAUAAUAAUAAUCUGCGAGCUUCUGGACAUGUUUCUGUGUGAAACUCGAAUUAUGUAUAGUGACAGAUCGUCUAAUCUAGUAUCCAACAUUGGAGAUUUGAUGCAAUAAAUAAUUGUGUUGGAGGAAAAAAAAAUUGUGAUGAAGGGUUUAUUAAAAUUUCAGUAGUCUAUGGUCUGUCAA